rnacentral:rRNA from 1 species
AGACGUCUACAUUAGAUACCCGUGUAGUCCCAGCCGUAAACUAUGCGCGUUAGGUGUAUCGGUGACCACGAGUUACCGAGGUGCCGAAGGGAAACCGUGAAACGUGCCGCCUGGGAAGUACGGUCGCAAGGCUGAAACUUAAGGGAAUUGGCGGGGGAGCACCACAACGGGUGGAGCCUGCGGUUUAAUUGGACUCAACGCCGGGAAGCUCACCGGAUAAGACAGCGGAAUGAUUGCCGGGCUGAAGACUCUGCAUGACUAGCUG